GAACCCAGUCCAAAGUGUUUUCUGCCCACGCAGAGACACACAAUAGAGGACACCCUCUUUCUAUGCCACAGCAUUUUUAUUAAGAACAUCUUUGGGGAGGGAGGGAGCUGAUAAUUGUUGGACUAGCCUAUGACACUGAAAACUGUCACGUGUUCCCACUUUGCUAACCCUGGUACCUCCAGCUCUAGAGAGUCAACUUUGAUCUCAGCUGCCGAACAAUGCUGACGUUCCAACUCCUCAUCUUGGCCUCAAGGGUUUGCUGAGUCAGUUCAUCUGCCAGAGGCAGAAAAGUGAAGUCACCACCAAGGUCAGCAGGUCCCCCCACCCCCGGGGAACCUAAAGCUGUAGAUGGAAGCUUUCUGGGAGAAUCGGAAGAAAGAGUGUGACCCCACCGGUUCUUUUAGAAGAAGACAGGAACUCAUCUAUACAGAAGCUGCCUUCCAUGUCAGGAUGUCCUGCUGUCCACACGGAGACUGGAGGCCAUGUGGCAGAAAACUGAUGUGUCCCAGCUGAGAGACAGGACCAACUGCCAGACGUUGGAAUGAAGCCUCCUUCAUAUCGUAGCCCAAACUGAGCUCUCAACAAAAUGCAGCCAUGAGAGUGAGCCUAGGCACCAUCAUGUGGAGCUGAAGAUAUGACUAUACAAGCCCAGAGAAGCCACACACUGUGAAAUAAUACACCUAUGCUGUUUCAACCUAUUGAGUUUUGGGGCAAUUUGCUAUAAACAGACAACUGGUAUACAGCUAAACAACUGCUAAGUAGCCCCACUCUUGGCUCCAUGUCAAUGAGUGCUGUGCCUUGAUAUUGCUUCCAGAGUCCAAUAAACACUAGCCAGACGUGGGCCUGUGUUCCCAGGGCUAACAGCCAUUCUCCCCCACUUCCUCCAUAGUGGUGUGAUCCACAUAGCUUGCCUCUCUGGGUGAAUCUGUGCUUGGCAGUGUGUGCUGGCCCCUUGCCGUGGGCUCACUUGCCUGUCUGCCUGACUCUUGAGCCUCCAGCAAACCCCCUUUCUCGCCCUGAUUGAAAGCCCCAGGAAUGGCCAUUUGGUGUCCCCUUCCUGACGCCCUGAAAUGAGAUUCUGUCUCCUGCAGGGGCCACUUUGCACUGCUGCACAAUGAUUGGAAUUGGAGAUGCAAGCAACAGAAAACUCGGCAGAUACAUUGGAAACCCUCUUGAGAGAAGAGCAGACAAGGAGACAAGGAAACAGAAGACACAACAAAGACAGGAAAAUCUGAGACUAAAGUUAGGAAGUCUGAGAUUCAGGAGGAGGAAACACAGAGAAAACGGAUGAAGUGAAAAUAUGAAAGAUGACACCGUCAUUGUCCUACCAUGACCGUCUGUACACCCCAACCUCAGAGUCCAAAAGGGACAGGAAACUGGUUCAAAGUCCUGAGGCUCUCAAGAGGGAAAAAUGUUCUCAACAAAGUCAGUUUGUAGGUUUUUGAUAUGUUAACUCUGGACCUUUGGAAUCUUCCAGAAGUUUGCUAAGUCAUGGAGAAACAGAAACCAACUGUGGGGUUAGGAUGCUCUGUCAGCUGUUUGUUUUACAAGCACAGGGACUUGAGUU